AACCAUAGAAACCUGCGGAGUACCUGCGGAAGGAUCAUUAAAAAAACUUUGCCCGUGGACCCUGGGUCCAAGGCGCAAAACCCACACUAUGUGCACUGUUAUCGUUCUUUUGGCAGGGGCUUGGGGUGUCUUCCAACUUGGGGAACCUCAACUUCUCGUCUAGCUCUAUCCACCUCGGACAGCUGGACAUGAGAAGCGGUUACUCUGCCAAGUGACACUUAAAAACACGCUUUUUUGUCU
rnacentral:misc_RNA from 1 species